rnacentral:rRNA from 1 species
UACAGAGACCUCAAGCGUUAUCCGGAUUUAUUGGGCGUAAAGGGUCCGCAGGUGGUCGUGUGCGUCGGUGGUUAAAUUUCAGGGCUCAACCCCGAAACUGCCAUCGAUACGACUCGACUAGAGGCCGGGAGAGGUAAGCGGAAUUGCCGGUGUAGUAGUAAUAUGCGUUGAUAUCGGCAAGAACACCAAAUGCGUAGGCAGCUUACUGGAACGCGCCUGACACUCAGGGACGAAAGCGUGGGGAGCGAAAGGG